ACUAAAAAGACUAAAGAGGGGACAUCGUUUUGGUGCGACAUUCUCCCCUCCCGUUUUCGUCCUGCCUCCUGCGACGCGCGACGCCCGGCUCUCUCUUCCGCCAAAAAAAGGAAAGCGCCCGCCUCCUCGACGAAUCCUCCUCGGCGCCCCCUCCCAGAUCCUCCUCGACGCAGAGCCCCCCUCAUCCUCCUCGGCGCCCCGCUCCCAAAUCCUCCUCGGCGCCCCCUCCAGAUCCUCCUCGACGAAUCCGGUGGCCGCCUGAGCGAGCGUGAACUCCGGUGGCUGCCCGAGCGCCGCUGCGACCCACACCCCCGCCGCGCGCCCUGCGACACGCCAGUGGCCGCGCUCCGGUGGCCGCUCGAGUGACUACGACCCGCGCCCCCGCUGCCCGAGCGACCGCGUCGGUGGUCGCGGCCCGCGCCGCGAACGCCGGUGGCCCCCGCUGCCCGAGCGUCGCGCCCGUUACCCGCGCGAACUUCGGUGGCCGCCUGAGCGACUGCGACCCGCCGGUGGCCGCGCCCGCUUCCCGCGCGGCACCCGCGGCCCGCUGCCCGCAUGCCCCUUGCCCCGAUUGAGACUUCGUGAGACGCGCCAUCCCCGGCACCGGCUCACCGUGACCCCACCUCCGCUGCCUAGCGCCUCCGGCCUCCUGUCGGGCCACCUCCGUCCUCCGACAGUCCAGCACGGCGGCGCCUUCCUGAUCUAGCGAGCCAAACGAGGACCCCAAGUCCCCGGCGAGCCAGCGGCGGCCACAUCUCGAUCCAGAGCCAGGGGCGGCCCGGCCCUCCUCUCACCAUGACCGUGCGCCUAGCACUUGGCUGCCAGCCGCCCUGGCCAGCCGGCCCCUCCCCUACUGCCUACAUCCGCCUGCAGCCAACAGAUCUAUCGCUUCCGACGGCCCUGCUGUCAGGCUGCAGUGACUACUCUGGACGACACGCACGAGCAGAUCGACACGGUGAAACUGCUGGGCGCUAGAGCUUGCUCCAGCUGAAUCCGGGGAGGUAUAUGCUGAAAUAUUUUGUUCUGUAGACUGAAUAAGAACGGUGAUUCUCUGGACGUGUAAGUGCUGAAUAAGAACUUCAAAUCCAGUUGUCUUUUAUAUAAUUCUAUCACUGUGCAGCACAUGCUCUUCAUUCCAACCCUAUAGCUGCAUCGGGAUCAUGGUUCUUGAUGACAAGGUUGCAUUGCAUAGUUCAAUUAGUCAAACAUACAAAAUCAAUACAUGCUGAUUUUCCAGCAUCCGCAAUAUGAACUGCAGAUGCCAUUUUGAAGUCAUUUUAAGAUCUUGCUUUUGCUUUUAGGAUUAAUAAAACAUAUUUUAGCUUCUUCUCUUGAUCUCUGUAUGAGGAUCUGUUUAUGAGCGAAAAGAUAAAAAAAAUAAGACACUACAACAUUUAGCCGUACACAAGUUCACAGAUAGUCUGAUGAGGCAGUGCCUUUUGUUUCCAAUUUCCAAGCAAAGACAAUGAACGAGAGGGAAAAACUCUCCUAAAAUUUGCUAGCCAUGUUCAUAUAGUUGUAUUCACUUCAGUCCAAUCUCGAUCAAUAAUUUGACCCAUAAUAGAUAUCAUUAGUUUACUUAAUUGAUUAUUGGCAGAUUUUUUUGAAAAAACCAGAAAAUUAUUGGCAGAUUAAUUCUCUGCACAAGGAUGAGUUUGUUUGACACUACAUAGAAUGUAGAAAUGUUUGCAGCUAUUUCUUUUUAUAUGGUAAAAUAGUACAUGUAGUGGUAGAUGGGCAAAUAAUCUGGGCAAAUGCAGUUUCUUUUGGGAUGUUUUUUAGAUGCAGUUUCUUGUGGGAUGCUUCUAUAUUAAUAUUACUUUAGAUGGCAAAAGCAGUAGCAUCUAUAUUGCACAUGGUUUUAGAACUUCUUUAUUGCAGACUUCAUCUUAUGGAGCUGUGCAAGUCGAGAUAUCAGAAGACAUGCAGCUGGUGCAUUUUGACUUGAAUAGUACUUGAGCUGAUAAGAUGUAUUGCAACAGAAGAGAGCUACCACCCUAGGCAUCUUGCAGCCGAACCAGCUAAUCCAUGUGUUGAGACCAAGGUGGACCACUGCUCCCUGUCCAACUUAAUCUCCAAUCGGUAAACCAGAAUUUUGAUACUUUUCUUAGGUGUUCAGCACUUAAUUACUUAGACUGCUUAUUUCUAUUUGGUCAAAGCUCUACCUCUAAUGUCAGGUUAUUAAUCAAGUUCACGCUGACCCGGUAAUUUCAUUGUGCAUUGUUUCAUAGCAUCAAACUCAAUUUGGCUUAGGUUGUAUUCCUAAAGAUCAGAAACCAAUUGUGAUCGAGCAAUGUAUAUUUGGUGAAGGUUGUGGCAUGUACAUGUAAGGAUGUUUGACUCUACAUUAUACCUGUAGGUUACAACAGCUUGUGUUUUUAGCACAAAUAGGUUUGGAAAGUGUCACUUUGCUAGAUUAUGAAAUGACAAUUUUCUAUUGCCUGUAUAUUUAAAAUAAGUUUCUAGAUGUGUACCAUUUUUAAAAUAACUACCGGAUCCAAAUGCAUAGGAUGAACAAUUGAUGUCAGGAAAACUUUCUUACACUAAUCAGGUUUUGGUUCUAAUGCUGGCAUUGUUCUUAGUACUCGGAACGUGUUCGACACAUUGUUUGAACUUGAAUUGUGCGCAUUUUAAUUGUCCAUUGCUACUGUUGUGGGACAGAGCAUGAGUUAUGGGUUCAGAAAGAAGAUAAGGCUAGGGAGAAAGUGGGCAGCCUGCUAGAUCUUGCCCAAGGCAUGUCCUCUUGCACUAAUGUUGAAAAAUGUCUUUAAAUUUAUCUGUCCCUUCUUAUAUAUGGCCGCAAGGACUUGUACAAUCAUAGACUGAAAAAGACAAUGUCGAUUAUUGGUUUGAAAUACCUGGUGUCAUCUUUUAUUCUAGAAUGUCUUUAACUUUAUCUAUCCCUUCUUAUAUGUGGGCUUUUCUUGAGGAAUGAAAACCUCUUUUCCUUUUUAUGAUUGGUGAAUACUGGGAUAGCCUUUUUCAACCGUAAAUAGUUUAUUGCACAUAUGAUAUUUUCACAUGCUUGUACAAUAAAAUGCUUGUUGAAUUCCUAUUAGUCCCAUGAUGCUAAAAUGCUUAGUAGCCAAGAAUUUGCUUAUUACUAUUGGUUAUGCCUGUUUUCAUGUAGAUGUGUCUUUGAUGAGAAAGGUGACACAAAGGCGCAAAGCCUUACAUAAAUUCAGAAUUGUCUUCAUUGCAAGGUAAUUUUUUGUUGUGUGUGAGAUUUUUUUCAUUCACCUAGAUAUGUGCACGAAAUUCGAUAUCCUUAGUUUUUGUGUAUCAAGCAUUUUGAUUGAAGGUUUGCAAUGGCUGGAAAGAUUAUUUGUCUCCAUUGACAUUACUAUGGACAGAAUAGAUCUUUUCAUAUAAUUAUCCUAUGCACGAAUGAACUUAGUUGCUGCUAAGAUAUCUCAUGAAUCAGGGUAUGUUUUGAUGUCGUUUCUUGAUUGGAUAAUCACAACUAUUUCCUGUGAUCUUUUAGCCCCUGGCGGCCUGGCCAUUUAACCUUAAUUACUUGCUCACGUACCUUCAGGCUUGCAACAUCAAAGAUCCAAUACAAAACAGAGUGGACUGCCCCACAAGCAGGAAAGGUGAAGGCGGCCAUGGUUACACAAUAUUGCAUACUGAGUCAAAAAGGCUGAAAAAUAAAGAUGGUAAAGAGUCCAUGAUUACACAUUGUUUUUAGUAAUACAACAAUACAUGGGCAAACUCUAAUUGUCAUGGUGUUAUAUUUUCUUUUUGGAUCAACACAUGGGCAAACUUUGCCUUUUGAAUUAAUUAAUUUUAUAGUAUUGUUACGUA